UUCUAGACUCUUCCUCUGUAGCUCUUUUUCAGCCAGCCUAAUGAGAGACACAUGCAAGAUAACGUAUAAUGAGGAUUAAAGGGGUCAUAUGAUGC